UUUGAUCCUGGCUCAGAUUGAACGCUGGCGGCAUGCUUUACACAUGCAAGUCGAACGGUAACAGGCCGCAAGGUGCUGACGAGUGGCGAACGGGUGAGUAAUGUAUCGGAACGUGCCCAGUCGUGGGGGAUAACGCAGCGAAAGCUGCGCUAAUACCGCAUACGAUCUAUGGAUGAAAGCGGGGGACCGUAAGGCCUCGCGCGAUUGGAGCGGCCGAUAUCAGAUUAGGUAGUUGGUGGGGUAAAGGCUCACCAAGCCGACGAUCUGUAGCUGGUCUGAGAGGACGACCAGCCACACUGGGACUGAGACACGGCCCAGACUCCUACGGGAGGCAGCAGUGGGGAAUUUUGGACAAUGGGCGCAAGCCUGAUCCAGCAAUGCCGCGUGCAGGAAGAAGGCCUUCGGGUUGUAAACUGCUUUUGUACGGAACGAAACGGUCCUGGUUAAUACCUGGGGCUAAUGACGGUACCGUACCCCCCU
rnacentral:rRNA from 1 species